rnacentral:tRNA from 1 species
GGCUUGUGGCUCAAUGGUAGAGCAUUUAUCUGGCAUGUGUGAGGCACUGCGUUCGAUCCUCAGCACCA